AUGACUAUAUCACAUUGAAACACUGGCUCUCAUAUGAUCACCAAAGUUAAGCAACAUCAAGCCUGGUCAGUAUCUAGAUGGGUGACUUCUUGGGAAUACCAGAUGCUGUAAG